rnacentral:rRNA from 1 species
UACGUAGGGUGCGAGCGUUGUCCGGAAUUAUUGGGCGUAAAGGGCUCGUAGGCGGUUUGUCGCGUCGGGAGUGAAAUCCACUGGCUUAACUGGUGGCUUGCUUUCGAUACGGGCAGACUGGAGGUAUGCAGGGGAGAACGGAAUUCCUGGUGUAGCGGUGAAAUGCGCAGAUAUCAGGAGGAACACCGGUGGCGAAGGCGGUUCUCUGGGCAUGUCCUGACGUGAGGAGCGAAAGUGUGGGGAGCAAACGG